rnacentral:rRNA from 1 species
UUCCUACGGGAGGCAGCAGUAGGGAAUCUUCCGCAAUGGACGAAAGUCUGACGGAGCAACGCCGCGUGAGUGAUGAAGGCUUUCGGGUCGUAAAACUCUGUUGUUAGGGAAGAACAAGUACAGAGUAACUGCUGUACCUUGACGGUACCUAACCAGAAAGCCACGGCUAACUACGUGCCAGCAGCCGCGGUAAUACGUAGGUGGCAAGCGUUAUCCGGAAUUAUUGGGCGUAAAGCGCGCGCAGGCGGUUUCUUAAGUCUGAUGUGAAAGCCCACGGCUCAACCGUGGAGGGUCAUUGGAAACUGGGGAACUUGAGUGCAGAAGAGAAAAGCGGAAUUCCACGUGUAGCGGUGAAAUGCGUAGAGAUGUGGAGGAACACCAGUGGCGAAGGCGGCUUUUUGGUCUGUAACUGACGCUGAGGCGCGAAAGCGUGGGGAGCAAACAGGAUUAGAUACCCUGGGUAGUCCA